rnacentral:rRNA from 1 species
GGCGGUCUAUCAUGCAGUCGAGCGGACAGAUGGGAGCUUGCUCCCUGAUGUUAGCGGCGGACGGGUGAGUAACACGUGGGUAACCUGCCUGUAAGACUGGGAUAACUCCGGGAAACCGGGGCUAAUACCGGAUGGUUGUUUGAACCGCAUGGUUCAAACAUAAAAGGUGGCUUCGGCUACCACUUACAGAUGGACCCGCGGCGCAUUAGCUAGUUGGUGAGGUAACGGCUCACCAAGGCAACGAUGCGUAGCCGACCUGAGAGGGUGAUCGGCCACACUGGGACUGAGACACGGCCCAGACUCCUACGGGAGGCAGCAGUAGGGAAUCUUCCGCAAUGGACGAAAGUCUGACGGAGCAACGCCGCGUGAGUGAUGAAGGUUUUCGGAUCGUAAAGCUCUGUUGUUAGGGAAGAACAAGUGCCGUUCAAAUAGGGCGGCACCUUGACGGUACCUAACCAGAAAGCCACGGCUAACUACGUGCCAGCAGCCGCGGUAAUACGUAGGUGGCAAGCGUUGUCCGGAAUUAUUGGGCGUAAAGGGCUCGCAGGCGGUUUCUUAAGUCUGAUGUGAAAGCCCCCGGCUCAACCGGGGAGGGUCAUUGGAAACUGGGGAACUUGAGUGCAGAAGAGGAGAGUGGAAUUCCACGUGUAGCGGUGAAAUGCGUAGAGAUGUGGAGGAACACCAGUGGCGAAGGCGACUCUCUGGUCUGUAACUGACGCUGAGGAGCGAAAGCGUGGGGAGCGAACAGGAUUAGAUACCCUGGUAGUCCACGCCGUAAACGAUGAGUGCUAAGUGUUAGGGGGUUUCCGCCCCUUAGUGCUGCAGCUAACGCAUUAAGCACUCCGCCUGGGGAGUACGGUCGCAAGACUGAAACUCAAAGGAAUUGACGGGGGCCCGCACAAGCGGUGAGCAUGUGUUUAAUUCGAAGCAACGCGAAGACCUUACCAGGUCUUGACAUCCUCUGACAUCCUAGAGAUAGGACGUCCUCUUCCGGGGCAGAGUGACAGGUGGUGCAUGAUGGUCGUCAGCUCGUGUCGUGAGAUGUGGUAGUCCCGCACGAGCGCACCUGAUCUUAGUGCCAGCAUUCAGUUGGGCACUCU